rnacentral:rRNA from 1 species
UCGAGAAUUUUUCUCAAUGGGCGAAAGCCUGAAGGAGCGACGCCGCGUGGGGGAUGAAUGGCUUCGGCCCGUAAACCCCUGUCAUUUGCGAACAAAUUGAUUCACCUAACACGUGAAGCAUUGAUUGUAGCGGAAGAGGAAGGGACGGCUAACUCUGUGCCAGCAGCCGCGGUAAUACAGAGGUCCCAAGCGUUGUUCGGAUUCACUGGGCGUAAAGGGUGCGUAGGCGGCAGGGUAAGUCUGACGUGAAAUCUCCGGGCCUAACCCGGAAACUGCGUUGGAUACUAUCCGGCUAGAGGAAUGGAGGGGAGACUGGAAUACUUGGUGUAGCAGUGAAAUGCGUAGAUAUCAAGUGGAACACCAGUGGCGAAGGCGAGUCUCUGGACAUUUCCUGACGCUGAGGCACGAAAGCCAGGGGAGCAAACGGGAUUAGAUACCCCUGUAGUCC